rnacentral:rRNA from 1 species
CCUACGGGAGGCAGCAGUGAGGAAUAUUGGUCAAUGGGCGCGAGCCUGAACCAGCCAAGUAGCGUGAAGGAUGAAUGCCCUACGGGUUGUAAACCUCUUUUAUAAAGGAAUAAAGUGAGGCACGUGUGCCUUUCUGUAUGUACUUUAUGAAUAAGGAUCGGCUAAUUCCGUGCCAGCAGCCGCGGUAAUACGGAGGAUCCGAGCGUUAUCCGGAUUUAUUGGGUUUAAAGGGAGCGUAGAUGGGUUGUUAAGUCAGUUGUGAAAGUUUGCGGCUCAACCGUAAAAUUGCAAUUGAAACUGGCAGUCUUGAGUACAGAUGAGGUAGGCGGAAUUCGUGGUGUAGCGGUGAAAUGCUUAGAUAUCACGAAGAACUCCGAUUGCGAAGGCAGCUUACUAAACUGCCACUGACGUUGAUGCUCGAAAGUGUGGGUAUCAAACAGGAUUAGAUACCCGGGUAGUC